GACGAAUAUUUCCGUAUAAUACCACUUUUAAAUAUACAUUAUACGCUGAUGGAAGCACUACUGCCAUUGACUGCUGCCACCAUGAAAGUAAACUUUAAGGAUAAGUGUGCCCGGUGUGGGGCUUGAACCCAUGACAUCCAGAACACUAGCAAGACAUUCUUGCAAACUGAGCUAACCAGGCGGCUGGUUCUUACCAACACACAACAGAGCCAAAACACUUGUGUGGCUUCUAGCACAGCCCUUGAGCGAUUGAGGUAAAACUGGUGGCAUCUCCAGGUGUGUGACCAGUGACCGACAACCAGCCUGUGGCAUUGCAGUGUGUGCGAUGGCUUAGUAGCUCUAGGGACUCUGGACUAAGAAGAAUGGCACGAGCUUAUGACUACCAUAAAGAUAAUGAAGGACAUAGCGCUGACGAACCAGGUGCCGAUGUUGAAGCAGUCCUUGGAGGUGUUUGUGUUCCGGCAGGAAAGCUGUGCUCACUCGUAACAAGUGUCUGGAGGCCUUCUGAAUGGGAAACCUCAAAAAUAGGGACCUUCAUGUUUACGGAGAAAAGAAAUGUUUUUUUUCUGGCGAAGAUGUGUUGUCUCCCCUGCAAGUGGCCUCCAAUGCUGUCAAGUUGAU